GAGAAGCUUUGGUGGUGUAAAGAGGGGAAGGGAGUGAGUUGGGAUCAGUUCCACCACCGGCCCUAGCUCGGUUUAAAAGGGGGCAAGAUUGCGGGCGGUGGCUGGGGCGGUGCAACCGCUUACAACCCGUGAUAGCCGACGGUGCUAUCGCCAGCUGGGCGGUGCCACCGCCUACAGGCGGUGAGCACUUGUUUGAGGGCUAUAUGGGC
rnacentral:lncRNA from 1 species